GUGGGGAAUUUUGGACAAUGGGCGCAAGCCUGAUCCAGCAAUGCCGCGUGCAGGAAGAAGGCCUUCGGGUUGUAAACUGCUUUUGUACGGAACGAAACGGUCCUGGUUAAUACCUGGGGCUAAUGACGGUACCGUAAGAAUAAGCACCGGCUAACUACGUGCCAGCAGCCGCGGUAAUACGUAGGGUGCGAGCGUUAAUCGGAAUUACUGGGCGUAAAGCGUGCGCAGGCGGUGCUGUAAGACAGGCGUGAAAUCCCCGGGCUCAACCUGGGAAUUGCGGUUGUGACUGCAGUGCUGGAGUACGGCAGAGGGGGAUGGAAUUCCGCGUGUAGCAGUGAAAUGCGUAGAUAUGCGGAGGAACACCGAUGGCGAAGGCAAUCCCCUGGACCUGUACUGACGCUCAUGCACGAAAGCGUGGGGAGCAAACAGGAUUAGAAACCCCGGUAGUCC
rnacentral:rRNA from 1 species